AAAGAAAAAAAAAAACAAACAGUUACACAAUCCUACAAAACGGACGACAAAAAGUCUGAAAUUAUUAAUUAUUUCUAUCAAACUCGAGAUCGCAGCGUAAAAUUUGAUCAAUGGUUUUAAAUUAGUUUCUGAAAUUAUGCCACUCUUGAUGAUGCAAUAUAUUUAUGCUUAUGUGAAGAUAUUCAGCUGUACUUACAUUAUUGAACACCAACAUCAAAUUUGUUUUACCUGUGUUGUAUAAAAACUAACAAAUGCUUGUUAAAAAAAAAAAAAACCCAAACACCAUUUAAGUAGCUCAACAGAACUAACAUUGUGUAAGGCGGCGUCUCCAAGUAAAAUACAAAAUGCCACUUUCAGUGACUGCCAGUUUUUUCCACAACAAUCAUCUUUAACACUAAGUGAAGGGCCUGUUUGCUUUUACAACCUGCUGGAAACAUGUUUCCUACUCGGAGCCCAACUUCUGGCCACAGCCCUCCAUUAAUAUCCUUAAAGACUUCCUGGUUGUUGAUUUAAUCCAUCAGCUUCAGGUUUCCAAAGCAAAGCUGAUGGAGCGUCACCAAGCAAGCGCCAUGCUUCACUACAGUCAAUGCGUUCUUUGUGGCGUAUGUUUGAUUCGUCCUAAUCCACAGGCAAAGUUCCCGUUUAUUGAUUCAUUGUUGUACAGAACAACAGCAUUUCAAGGCCGCUUCGGCUCGUUUAUGAAGGUCUGAACCAAUUUUGCCUUUGGUUCAGAAGUUGUGUACAUCUUUCAGUUCAAGCGUGGAGGAGCCCUCCGGCGAAACUGAAACGUUUCCCCACCAAGACUUCCUGCAGGUGUUUUCCCUUCAGUCGAGAGUAUCUGACCACCUGCCUCGGCAGGAAGUCGUUGGCAGUUGACAGCUUCCUGUUUUUGCCGCCAGGUGAGGAACGCACUCUUCGUUUAACAUUAAACUUUAAAAGUACAGUUCCAAAUAUAGGCCCUCUCUUAUCGUUUUUUUAUAAUCCUCCUCUUUUCUACAAGGCGGUGAUCUCUUCUGUGAAAUUUUAAGACCAUCUCGACUCAGUCAUAUUUUUUUUACAACCAUUAACAUUCCAGGUUUUUGAAGUAAUCCAUUUUAAGCACAACUUCUUCAAAUAAAGAAGACCUUCAUUGGUUCUAUCGAAUGAACCCGAGGCAAAUCUGAUUUGCAAUAAAUCUUAUUAAUGGGGUUGAAUAAUUUUGAGACUCCAGCAGUCAUUGAAUGCAUGACGCAUUGUUGAACAAUAAAAAAGAACCUCUUGUGAUAGCUUUAUGUAAUUAUUAGCACUGACUCAAAGUGAAAUGUUUUGUUGCAAACAGAUUCGAAAAGUUGCCAGUGAACUUAAUUUGGACUGGGAGCCGAAUACUUUAAGGUUAAUCUAAUUAUGACACUACUGCUGAAGAUUACAGUAGUUAUUCAGAUUAUGAUUACUCCACAUUUUCCUGAUUUCCUCAUGUAUUUUAUUACUGUCCCAAACUUUGACAGUCUCAGCCCAAAAAAAAAAUCAUAUGUUGUACGCAAUGAGGGCAGCAAAAGUUUAUCCAAUAAGCAGAAAAUAUUACCUGCGUGGUGAUUUUCCUUUAAAAUCCUACAUCAUACAAAAAUUGUAGCAUAAAAAAAUAUGUUUUAAUGUUUCUAGCUUAAUUAACUAGAUCACAUUUUAAAGUGAAUCCACACCAUUUGUAACAUGUAGUUGUUAUACCAACUUGUGCCUAGUUUCAUUAAAGCCUAACCAGUUAAAAAUAAUUUCAUUCCAAUAAAGUUUUCAUUCAACAACCCUUAAUGCAAAUGUUUACAAAGUCCAUUUAAUCCAUCCACUUACUUUCAUCAACAGUUUUUUUAUUAUAAUGUAUGCAAUAACUUAAGCUGUUUUAUACAGUUACAGAAACAAGUACCAGGAUUUAUCUCUUAAAGAUGAAAAUUUAUCUCAGCUGUGCUCAGAAACAGAAAAAGAAAAAAAACUGA